rfam:Triticum aestivum genome assembly, contig: Triticum_aestivum_CS42_TGACv1_scaffold_501559_6BL
AUUAUACACCCUCCGUCCCGAAAUAUUUGUCGGAAGAAUGUAGAAAAAUGAAUGUAUCUAGAACUAAAAAUAUAUCUAGAUACAUUCAUUCCUCCGACGAGUAUAUUCAGACGAAGGAAGUAUAAA